rnacentral:rRNA from 1 species
CAGCACUAAGUGGGUGGUAAACUCCAUCUAAAACUAAAUAUAACCAUGAGACCGAUAGCAAACAAGUACCGUGAGGGAAAGUUGAAAAGAACUCUGAAUAGAGAGUUAAAUAGUACGUGAAACUGCUUAGAGGUUAAGCCCGAUGAACCUGAAUAUCCGUUGUAGAAAAUUCAUCAUCAAUUCUAUGAUAUUUUUUAAUAUUGUUGGAAUGGUGUGCACUUUUUCUACUUAAGGACAUUGUAAUCUGUUAAUGUUUGAAUGCGUAUUAUAAGAACAUUUACAAUAGUUUUUACAUUAUUUAAUUUUAUUGAAUAUGUUUAAAUGUAGAUGCUUCGAAUAUGCCAUUGACAGAUUUUUACUUAUAUUGUACUUAAAUCUUCGGAUUUUAUAAUAAUAUGAUUAUCAUUGAUUUUUGUGUUUAUUAUAUGUACAUAUAUGAUUGACAAUGCGAAAGAUUCAGGAAACCUUCGGGACCC